rnacentral:rRNA from 1 species
UACGGAGGAUCCAAGCGUUAUCCGGAAUCAUUGGGUUUAAAGGGUCCGUAGGCGGUUUUGUAAGUCCGUGGUGAAAGCCCAUCGCUCAACGGUGGAACGGCCAUUGAUACUGCAAGACUUGAAUUAUUGGGAAGUAACUAGAAUAUGUAGUGUAGCGGUGAAAUGCUUAGAGAUUACAUGGAAUACCAAUUGCGAAGGCAGGUUACUACCAAUAUAUUGACGCUGAUGGACGAAAGCGUGGGGAGCGAACAGG